UUGCUUCAGCAGCAGAUAUUGGAAAGCUGGAACAGUUCAGACAAGAUUAGCAUAGACCCUGUGCAAGAAGAACACAUGAGAUUAUGAAUUUCAAUAUUUAGAA